AACGAACGCUGGCGGCAUGCCUAACACAUGCAAGUCGAACGAGACCUUCGGGUCUAGUGGCGCACGGGUGCGUAACGCGUGGGAACCUGCCCUUAGGUUCGGAAUAACUCCCCGAAAGGGGUGCUAAUACCGGAUAAUGUCUUCGGACCAAAGAUUUAGCGCCUUUGGAUGGGCCCGCGUUGGAUUAGCUAGUUGGUAGGGUAAAAGCCUACCAAGGCGACGAUCCAUAGCUGGUCUGAGAGGAUGAUCAGCCACACUGGGACUGAGACACGGCCCAGACUCCUACGGGAGGAAGCAGUGGGGAAUAUUGGACAAUGGGAGAAAGACUGAGCCAGCAAUGCCGCGUGAGUGAUGAAGGCCUUAGGGUUGUAAAGCUCUUUUACGCGGGAUGAUAAUGACAGUACCGGGAGAAUAAGCUCCGGCUAAAUCCGUG
rnacentral:rRNA from 1 species